GACGAACGCUGGCGGCGUGCUUAACACAUGCAAGUCGAACGCUGAAGCUCAGCUUUUGUUGGGUGGAUGAGUGGCGAACGGGUGAGUAACACGUGAGUAACCUGCCCCCUUCUUUGGGAUAACGCCCGGAAACGGGUGCUAAUACGGGAUAUUCACUGGUCUUCGCAUGGGGGUUGGUGGAAAGGGUUUUUCUGGUGGGGGAUGGGCUCGCGGCCUAUCAGCUUGUUGGUGGGGUGAUGGCCUACCAAGGCUUUGACGGGUAGCCGGCCUGGGAGGGUGACCGGUCACAUUGGGACUGAGAUACGGCCCAGACUCCUACGGGAGGCAGCAGUGGGGAAUAUUGCACAAUGGGCGCAAGCCUGAUGCCGCGACGCCGCGUGAGGGAUGGAGGCCUUCGGGUUGUGAACCUCUUUCGCUCAUGGUCAAGCCGCAACAAUGGUUGUGGUGAGGGUAGUGGGUAAAGAAGCGCCGGCUAACUACGUG
rnacentral:rRNA from 1 species